rnacentral:rRNA from 1 species
GCCAGCAGCCAUAUCACCCUGUAGCUCUCAACUGGCUACCCACCGAAGCUAAGCAGGGUUGUGCCUGGUCAGUACCUGGAUGGAGAAGACCUCCUGGGAAGCUAUGGUUGCUGCUGGAA